AGAGUUUGAUCCUGGCUCAGGAUGAACGCUAGCGGCAGGCCUAAUACAUGCAAGUCGAACGGUGUAGCAAUACAUAGUGGCGCACGGGUGCGUAACACGUAUGCAACCUACCUUAUACUGGGGGAUAGCCUUUGGAAACGGAGAUUAAUACCCCAUAGUACAUUUGAUUGGCAUCAAUUAAAUGUUAAAGAUUUAUCGGUAUAAGCUGGGCAUGCGUCCAAUUAGUUAGUUGGUGAGGUAAUGGCUCACCAAGACUUUGAUUGGUAGGGGAACUGAGAGGUUAAUCCCCCACACUGGCACUGAGAUACGGGCCAGACUCCUACGGGAGGCAGCAGUAGGGAAUAUUGGGCAAUGGAGGCAACUCUGACCCAGCCAUGCCGCGUGCAGGAAGAAGGCGUUAUGCGUUGUAAACUGCUUUUAUAUAGGAAGAAAUAGUCCUUGCGAGGAAAGUUGACGGUACUAUAUGAAUAAGCACCGGCUAACUCCGUGCCAGCAGCCGCGGUAAUACGGAGGGUGCAAGCGUUGUCCGGAUUUAUUGGGUUUAAAGGGUGCGU
rnacentral:rRNA from 1 species